rnacentral:rRNA from 1 species
AUUCUUUAGAUUUAAUAAUUUAAGGUGCCCCCUGCUCAAUGGUGUGUUUAAAUAGCCGCAGUAAUAUGACUGUGCGAAGGUAGCAUAAUAAUUUGCCUUUUAAUUAGAGGCUGGUAUGAAUGGGGUAAUGAGAUCUACACUUUAUUAAUUUAUUUAUUUAUAAAUUAAAUUUUAAGUUAAAAUUCUUAAAUUGAUACAAAGGACGAGAAGACCCUAUAGAAUUUUAUAAUGUUAAAUUUUUUAUUAUUUAUAAUUUAUUAAUAAAAAUUAGCUAAGGGUUUGCAUUAUUUAGUUGGGAGGACUUUUAAAUUAAUUAAACUUUAAAAUUUAUAGAACAUUAGUUUGUGAAUUUUUGAUUAUGAUUUACAUAUAUUAGAAUUAAUUACCUUAGGGAUAACAGCGUAAUGCUUUUGGAUAGUUCAUAUAUAUAAAAGCGUUUGCGACCUCGAUGUUGAAUUAAGAUUAGAUUAUAAGUAGAGUUAUAAUUGUAAAGUCUGUUCGACUUAUAAAAUCUUACGUGAUCUGAGUUCA